AUUGAACGCUGGCGGCAUGCUUUACACAUGCAAGUCGAACGGCAGCACGGGGGCAGCCCUGGUGGCGAGUGGCGAACGGGUGAGUAAUACAUCGGAACGUGCCCGGUCGUGGGGGAUAACGUAGCGAAAGUUACGCUAAUACCGCAUACGAUCUGAGGAUGAAAGCGGGGGACCUUCGGGCCUCGCGCGAUCGGAGCGGCCGAUGUCAGAUUAGGUAGUUGGUGGGGUAAAGGCCUACCAAGCCGUCGAUCUGUAGCUGGUCUGAGAGGACGACCAGCCACACUGGGACUGAGACACGGCCCAGACUCCUACGGGAGGCAGCAGUGGGGAAUUUUGGACAAUGGGCGCAAGCCUGAUCCAGCCAUUCCGCGUGCAGGACGAAGGCCUUCGGGUUGUAAACUGCUUUUGUACGGAACGAAAAGGCUCUGGCUAAUACCUGGGGCUCAUGACGGUACCGUAAGAAUAAGCACCGGCUAACUACGUG
rnacentral:rRNA from 1 species